rnacentral:tRNA from 1 species
AGGUAAUUAGUCCAAAGCAAAGACCUCUGAUUUCGGCUCAGAAAAUUGUGGUUCAACUCCACAAUCACCUU